rnacentral:rRNA from 2 species
AGGUGCGAUCAUAGCAGCAGUAAUGCACCUAAUCCCAUCAGAACUCCGUAGUGAAGCGUGGUUGGGCGAGAGUAGUUCUAGGAUGGAUGACCUCCUCGGAAGUCCUCGUGUUCCACCUN